GUGUGGUGUCACACGCUAUAUAUCACAGGCAAGAUAACACGGAUCUCCAGUACUUCUGACCCAAAGAGACCAGUGCAGACAUAUCUCCCUUGCAAACUAACGAGAAGCCCAAAAAAGUCAUUCAAAGUAGGACUCUUUGUUUCAAGUUGGAAGUUGCCGUUUCCAGAAGACUUUGUUGAGUCUUUCCUCGGCGUGGAUUGAGUGGAUCAGUCAACGGUCACCUGGUCUCCUUUAUCUAUCAGAGAAUUCUGCGUAACCUUACUCAAAUUCACAAUGCACCGAUUCAUCGCGCUAUGCCUCGCCCUGCUGGUUCUUGCCGCGACAUCUCUCGCCUUUCCCGCUCAGCUAGAGUACCUCCUGGACGAAGACCCUGAUGAGCAAGUGGCCAAGCGGGACACGGACGAAGACGCCAUGUACCGGGUCCAAAGGUCGCGGGACAGCUGUUCCAUUAACUGCAUCGCUUGCGGGAGCACGUGGUCCACCAAGUUCAACACCCACCAAUGCAUGAAGCACUGCCAGACCAUCACCUCGCCCGACAGCCCCAAGAAGUACUCGUCCUGCCGUCGCUUUUACAUCAACUGAUGAGUCACCCAGGAUUCUCCGCAUCCACAAGAAUUCUUCAAGAAAUAUCUGAUGCUCGAUUGUCCUCCUAUUGAAAUUAAACCUUGACUGCGCCAGCAUCUGUGAUUCCAAAGUUGUAGGUCAUGGGGCUCGGUGGGAGACGGGCGCGAGACCACUUUAUUCAUGUAAAUUAAGUAUCAUUUAAUUGGCUUUAGUAAGUGACGAAAGUUCACCGAUAUAAUAGGAGUUAAACAGAUACAAUGACCUAAGCAAGUAGCCCUGAUUUGAGACUCCUCAUGAUCCUCAAUCCAGUAGACGGAGACUGGUAAAGCUCACAGCCUGUAGCCUCUCACCGAUCCCUUCAAAUGAUCGUUCGACCAUGACUGAAACGAAGGUAGAUGGCGCGAUUGGACUCAUCUCAUUUGACCCGGAAAGAGAGAUCUGAGUUUGAACAGCCAUGCUACUUUUUCUGAAAGAAAGGAAGAGGAGGAAAAACACCUAUUUUGAUUUUCGUGCAUGCAUGCAGGCGUUUGUUGUUGACAACAUGAUAUAUACCCUAACAGUUUAUUAAUAUAUGGCCCUAUCAGCUUUUUAAGUCUACAUAGAGUUACCUUGACGCACAGCCAGUGCGCCGAAUUUGUUGUCGGAGCCAGUGGUUGAUGCGAGCACGAUCAUUAUCUAACCGUUGAGCAGACCACGAGUUAGCAAACUGUGAAAAUGGUAAACAGGGAAAGCCUACAUUCAGGUUUUUGUUCACGUUUGAAGUUUCGGUUUGACAACUAUAACCAGAAUUCAUUGUCUGUGGCAUUAGUAUUCAGAUGUAAAUACAAAAAGGUGUGAUAGUAUUGAAAACGUACCUCUGCCUGAGUGACCCAUUCAUUGAACUGAUUUCAAGAUCAUGCAUGCUUCUCUCUCGUAAAGGAUCUUAAGGUUUUGAAAAAGCCCAACUGAUCCUGUCAAUAAUUUUCGCGUAUAUUUAAGACAUUAAAUGCUGCAUUUGUCGAGUCAUAAAAGAGAUGACUUGUUCAACUGAAGUUUUCCCCCACACAACUUAGUGAGCACGUUCUCGCAAUUAAGUGGCAAGACAAAUUGAACCAGCUGAUAUUGUCAUUUACACAGUAACUUGCACCGGGUAUAUUCAUGAAACUCUGUACCCACUGUUUGUCCGAAAUCUUGUACUUAGAAAAAAAAUAAAAUAAAAAAAUUUU